rnacentral:pre_miRNA from 7 species
UCUUUGGAGACGUGGGUGGUUGUGCCAAUCCCGGGACGAGCCCCCAGUGAAAGACCUCCAAAGACCUUACUCAGGUCUCGGGAUAAUAGCAGACCCCCAAGAACUCACAAGAGACC